GCAGCAGUGGCGGAAUUGGCAGACGCGUAUGUUUCAGGUACAUAUGGAGAAAUCCCUGUGGGUUCGAGUCCCAUCUGCUGCA
rnacentral:tRNA from 1 species